AGUUAACGGAUGAAUGAAUUUGUC
rnacentral:miRNA from 1 species